AACGAACGCUGGCGGCAUGCCUAACACAUGCAAGUCGAACGAGACCUUCGGGUCUAGUGGCGCACGGGUGCGUAACGCGUGGGAACCUGCCCUUAGGUUCGGAAUAACUCCCCGAAAGGGGUGCUAAUACCGGAUAAUGUCUUCGGACCAAAGAUUUAUCGCCUUUGGAUGGGCCCGCGUUGGAUUAGCUAGUUGGUAGGGUAAAAGCCUACCAAGGCGACGAUCCAUAGCUGGUCUGAGAGGAUGAUCAGCCACACUGGGACUGAGACACGGCCCAGACUCCUACGGGAGGCAGCAGUGGGGAAUAUUGGACAAUGGGCGAAAGCCUGAUCCAGCAAUGCCGCGUGAGUGAUGAAGGCCUUAGGGUUGUGAAGCUCUUUUACCCGGGAUGAUAAUGACAGUACCGGGAGAAUAAGCUCCGGCUAACUCCGU
rnacentral:rRNA from 1 species